UCCCUGAUAGCUCAGUUGGUAAAGAAUCCACCUGCAAAGCAGGAAACCCAGGUUCGAUUCCUGGAUCGGGAA
rfam:TPA: Bos taurus chromosome 1, whole genome shotgun sequence.